rnacentral:rRNA from 1 species
AAGGUGAUAUGAACCGUUAUAACCGGCGAUUUCCGAAUGGGGAAACCCAGUGUGUUUCGACACACUAUCAUUAACUGAAUCCAUAGGUUAAUGAGGCGAACCGGGGGAACUGAAACAUCUAAGUACCCCGAGGAAAAGAAAUCAACCGAGAUUCCCCCAGUAGCGGCGAGCGAACGGGGAGCAGCCCAGAGCCUGAAUCAGUGUGUGUGUUAGUGGAAGCGUCUGGAAAGGCGCGCGAUACAGGGUGACAGCCCCGUACACAAAAAUGCACAUGCUGUGAGCUCGAUGAGUAGGGCGGGACACGUGGUAUCCUGUCUGAAUAUGGGGGGACCAUCCUCCAAGGCUAAAUACUCCUGACUGACCGAUAGUGAACCAGUACCGUGAGGGAAAGGCGAAAAGAACCCCGGCGAGGGGAGUGAAAAAGAACCUGAAACCGUGUACGUACAAGCAGUGGGAGCACGCUUCGGCGUGUGACUGCGUACCUUUUGUAUAAUGGGUCAGCGACUUAUAUUCUGUAGCAAGGUUAACCGAAUAGGGGAGCCGAAGGGAAACCGAGUCUUAACUGGGCGUUAAGUUGCAGGGUAUAGACCCGAAACCCGGUGAUCUAGCCAUGGGCAGGUUGAAGGUUGGGUAACACUAACUGGAGGACCGAACCGACUAAUGUUGAAAAAUUAGCGGAUGACUUGUGGCUGGGGGUGAAAGGCCAAUCAAACCGGGAGAUAGCUGGUUCUCCCCGAAAGCUAUUUAGGUAGCGCCUCGUGAAUUCAUCUCCGGGGGUAGAGCACUGUUUCGGCAAGGGGGUCAUCCCGACUUACCAACCCGAUGCAAACUGCGAAUACCGGAGAAUGUUAUCACGGGAGACACACGGCGGGUGCUAACGUCCGUCGUGAAGAGGGAAACAACCCAGACCGCCAGCUAAGGUCCCAAAGUCAUGGUUAAGUGGGAAACGAUGUGGGAAGGCCCAGACAGCCAGGAUGUUGGCUUAGAAGCAGCCAUCAUUUAAAGAAAGCGUAAUAGCUCACUGGUCGAGUCGGCCUGCGCGGAAGAUGUAACGGGGCUAAACCAUGCAC